GAGCCUCACAUCCAGUAUGUUGCCAAAUCCUGUAGAUUCCACCUUAAAAACAUAGCCUGCAUCCGCCCCUUUCUUACACAAGAUGCUACCAAGAAGCUUGACCAUGCUCUAGUAAUUUCCCGCAUGGAUUAUUGUAACCCUCUCCUGAUUGGUCUUCCCAAAAGCCGUACUGCACAGCUACAGUCUGUAAUGAAUGCUGCUGCCAGACUGAUUUUCCUCUCUAGUCGGUUCUCUCACACCUCUCCCCUCUGCCAGUCCUUACAUUGGCUUCCUGUAUCCUAUAGGAGUCAAUUCAAGGUACUAAUUCACACCUAUAAAGCACUGAACAAUUCUAGCCCCUCUUAUAUCUCCUCACAGAUCCAUAGGUAUGUCCCUUCUCGAUCUCUCCGCACUGCCUGUGACCUUCUCCUGUCCGCUGCUCGCACCCGUACGGCCAACUCGCGCUUGCAGGACUUCUCACGGGCGGCUCCCUUCCUAUGGAAUAGCCUGCCUACCC